CCGUGCCCCUCCCCAAAGCCGCUAGCCUCCGGCCGCCGGCAUCUCGUCUCCUGGAUUUGCUCGAGGUCGCCUCCCUCCCUGCCGCCUACCACAGACGCCCCGCCCCAUAGCUCUCAUCUGCGUCCAGCAGAUCACCGCCGCGGCCGACCCAGCCUACCCAAAGUCGCCUUCAACAUUUCCCCUUCCCCAGGCCGCUGCCGAUGCCGUGCCUCCACGAGCCUGCUGCCGAAUCUCCUACCUCAUCCCCGGUGGCCACCACUUCCGGGUCAGGGGAUGGAGGUGAUGCUUCUCCGUCAGGCACACGGCGGUAGAACACCCACCUUCGGCACAGCCGAAGGAUGCAACAAGGAUGUGCGUGAAAGGUGCAUCCCCAGCUCCGCUGCAGCAUGGACAAGGAGAUCUGCAAGAACCAGAACAUCACCAACCUGAAGGAAUCGUAGAAAUAUAUAUAUUAAGAGUUGGCGGCAUUUCAAAUGCUGCAGGUUUAUCUGAAAUGUGAUCACAAAAUGCAGCAGGGGCACGUUCAUACUACAGCAGGAAGCAGCGCCAUGGCAAGACGAUGUGUGGUUUAACACGAGAUUCAAAAUUUCGACCAAACUAUCAUAGUGACCAGCUGAGUGAGGCAAUUGAAGCAUGGUCAAUUCAAAACUACAAUCACUUAUGUUGCAAAUACCCAUGGUUCACUAGGAAAAACUUCAUGCUAUAUGUGUUGGAUCACGUGGAAAAAGAACUACACGUGAUCGAUCCAUCACCUGUUCCAAAGUGGUUUGAAGGAAAUGCAUUUCGAAAAUAUGGAAAGACUCUUCAGCAUUUCUGCAAAAAAUAUAUGGAUGCAAUGAAUGUUCAUAUCCCGGGUGGAAUGAAGAUAUAUACCAGUGGAAGUUCGUGCCUGAAAAUGAUAUAUUCAAGAUGACGAGCAAGGGUAUUUCACUGGUUCUGCAGUAUAUGUCUGCGUGGAAAAGUACAUUAAGCACCGUAAAUUUAUAAGGAGAGUAUGAGUAUACUACUUUGUGCAAACAAAUAGUUUGUGAUCUUCCAUAAUUAUUAUCUCAAUCGAUCACAUAUGAGAUAUAUACUUAUGUAUUCGAAUUGUCUGCAGGAUGCUCGCAGUCUCGCACCAUGCGUCAGAACUUCAUCAUCGAUAUGUUUGACCUCGGACUUGGAUUCUUAUAAAAAAUUACUUUCUGGGGAUGUAAAAUAUUAGCCGCAUCGUAGGAAGAGAUAUAAAAUAGAAUAUAUUGUAAAUUUGUUUGAAUAUUUAGUUGACCUUGGUGACAAAUGGUGAAUAUUUGUUGGCAGAUUUGCAUCUUUUUAUAAUUGAAUUUUUAGCUCAGACUGUUGGUAUCCA